GGCUGGUCUGAGUGCAGUGGUGUUUACAACUCAUCACCAGAUACAGGUUCCUUUGUUCCUUCACCACUCCCACUGCCUCACUUAACUAACUUAAA
ensembl:misc_RNA Y_RNA Y RNA